rnacentral:tRNA from 1 species
GGGGGCGUAGCUCAGUUGGUAGAGCGUUCGCUUUGCGUGUGAAAGGUCCCGGGUUCAAGCCCCGGCGCCUCCA